GUAAUACCGCAUGAUGUCGCAAGACCAAAGCAGGGGAUCGCAAGACCUUGCGCCUUUAGAGAAGCCUAUGUCUGAUUAGCUAGUUGGUAGGGUAACGGCCUACCAAGGCGACGAUCAGUAACUGGUCUGAGAGGACGAUCAGUCACACCGGAACUGAGACACGGUCCGGACUCCUACGGGAGGCAGCAGUGGGGAAUAUUGGACAAUGGGCGAAAGCCUGAUCCAGCAAUGCCGCGUGUGUGAAGAAGGCCUUCGGGUUGUAAAGCACUUUGAUCUGGGAAGAAAAAGCUUCACCUAAUACGUGAAGCCUUGACGGUACCAGAGGAACAAGCACCGGCUAACUCUGUGCCAGCAGCCGCGGUAAUACAGAGGGUGCGAGCGUUAAUCGGAUUUACUGGGCGUAAAGCGUGUGUAGGCGGUUCGUUAAGUCGGAUGUGAAAGCCCUGGGCUCAACCUGGGAAUCGCAUUCGAUACUGGCGAGCUAGAGUACGGUAGAGGGUGGCGGAAUUCCGGGUGUAGCGGUGAAAUGCGUAGAUAUCCGGAGGAACACCGAUGGCGAAGGCAACCACCUGGGCCUGUACUGACGCUGAGACACGAAAGCGUGGGGAGCAAACAGGAUUAGAUACCCUGGUAGUCCACGCCGUAAACGGUGGGCGCUAGGUGUGGGGGCCAUUCCACGGUCUCUGUGCCGCAGCUAACGCAUUAAGCGCCUCGCCUGGGGAGUACGGCCGCAAGGCUAAAACUCAAAGGAAUUGACGGGGGCUCGCACGAGCGGCGGACCAUGUGGAUUAAUUCGA
rnacentral:rRNA from 1 species